GCUAGCAUAGUUCAACGGUCAGAACAUGUCCUUCAUACGGACAGAAUGUAAGUUCAAUUCUUACUGCUAGCU
rnacentral:tRNA from 2 species